rnacentral:lncRNA from 1 species
GAGUCACAGGAUUAAUUGAGUUGAGCACGAUUCGGAUGAUCUCAUCAGGGUUGACAGUUUAACCCUGAGUCAUCCUAAACACAGGGGUCAAAAGGGAUGAAUUAUAUGGUAACCAUAUUCACGUAGGUUCUGAAUGUUGCGAUUGUGACUAUUCGACCUAUCCGAUCGUCGGAUACCAUUGCUAGAUGGUCACUUCGAUUAGUACAGGAAUUGGUUCCUGUGCUACCGACUUAGGUUCGAACCUGCGGAGUCACACAC